rnacentral:rRNA from 1 species
UGAACGCUAGCGACAGGCCUAACACAUGCAAGUUGAGGGGCAGCACAAGGAGCAAUCUGAGGUGGCGACCGGCGCACGGGUGAGUAACACGUAUGCAACCUGCCUGUAAGCGGGGAAUAACCCGUUGAAAGACGGACUAAUACCGCAUAAUACUAAAUUACUGCAUGGUAAUUUAUUUAAACAUUUAUGGCUUACAGAUGGGCAUGCGCAUGAUUAGCUAGUUGGAGAGGUAACGGCUCCCCAAGGCAACGAUCAUUAGGGGUUCUGAGAGGAAGGUCCCCCACACUGGUACUGAGACACGGACCAGACUCCUACGGGAGGCAGCAGUGAGGAAUAUUGGUCAAUGGACGAGAGUCUGAACCAGCCAAGUCGCGUGCAGGAAGAAUGUCCCUAUGGAUUGUAAACUGCUUUUGCAGGGGAAUAAAGUGCAUCACGUGUGAUGUUUUGUAUGUACUCUGCGAAUAAGGAUCGGCUAACUCCGUGCCAGCCGCCGC